rnacentral:rRNA from 1 species
GCAAGUCGAACGGGUUAUCUUUGUAGCUUGCUAUAGAAAUAAUUAGUGGAAAACGGGUGAGUAAUGCAUAGGAAUUUCUCUAGUAGUAUAGGAUAGCCACUAGAAAUGGUGGGUAAUACUGUAUAAUCCCUGCGGGGGAAAGAUUUAUCGCUACAUGAUGAGCCUAUGUUUGAUUACCUAGUUGGUAGGGUAAAGGCCUACCAAGGCGAUGAUCUAUAGCUGGUCUGAGAGGAUGAUCAGCCACACUGGAACUGAGAUACGGUCCAGACUCCUACGGGAGGCAGCAGUGGGGAAUAUUGGACAAUGGGCGCAAGCCUGAUCCAGCUAUGCCGCGUGAGUGAGGAGGGCCUUAGGGUUGUAAAACUCUUUCAGUAGGGAAGAUAAUGACGGUACCUACUGAAAAAGUCCCGGCAAACUC